rnacentral:RNase_P_RNA from 1 species
GUAAGCGAGACGAUUGCGGGCAUAGCGAUAUGCGUGAGGAAAGUCCGGGCUCCAGAGAGCAGGGAUGCCGGCUAACGGCCGGUGGAGGCGACUCCAAGGAGAGUGCAGCAGAAAAGAAACGCCCUUUUUAGGGUAAGUGUGAAAAUGUGAGGUAAGAGCUCACAGGGGGAAUGGAGACAUCUCCCUCGUGUAAACCCCAUCCGGAGCAACAUCAACCCAGAACAUAAGCCUGCUCGGCAGCUUCUGAACCGAUGGCUUGAGCAAAGAAGCAAUUCUUUGCCACAGAUAGAUAAUCGUCUAAUACAGAACCCGGCUUAUUGCUU